rnacentral:misc_RNA from 1 species
GGACGUGGUGAAGAGCGUCAUCCAGGUGGACGACUACAAGAACCCCAAGUACUCCGGCUCCAUGGACGCCUUCAGGAAGAUCCUCGCCGCCGACGGCGUCAAGGGCCUCUACAAGGGCUUCGGCCCGGCCAUGGCGCGCAGUGUCCCCGCCAACGCCGCCUGCUUCUUGGCCUACGAGGUCACUCGCUCUGCACUAGGCUGAACUCAUGUAUCAUUACAUCCUCCUCCUUCUUGACCCUUAAUUUUCUUCUUCUGAUUCUGAUUCUGAUUCUUGCUGUCA